GACGAACGCUGGCGGCGUGCCUAAUACAUGCGAGUUGAGCGAUGAAGCUUGGUGCUUGCCCCAAUUUGAAGAGCAGCGAACGGGUGAGUAACGCGUGGGGAAUCUGCCUUUGAGCGGGGGACAACAUUUGGAAACGAAUGCUAAUACCGCAUAACAACUUUAAACAUAAGUUUUAAGUUUGAAAGAUGCAAUUGCAUCACUCAAAGAUGAUCCCGCGUUGUAUUAGCUAGUUGGUGAGGUAAAGGCUCACCAAGGCGAUGAUACAUAGCCGACCUGAGAGGGUGAUCGGCCACAUUGGGACUGAGACACGGCCCAAACUCCUACGGGAGGCAGCAGUAGGGAAUCUUCGGCAAUGGACGAAAGUCUGACCGAGCAACGCCGCGUGAGUGAAGAAGGUUUUCGGAUCGUAAAACUCUGUUGGUAGAGAAGAACGUUGGUGAGAGUGGAAAGCUCAUCAAGUGACGGUAACUACCCAGAAAGGGACGGCUAACUACGUG
rnacentral:rRNA from 1 species